AGCUGACCUGCUGGGAGGAGCACACUCCUUUUAAGUCUGUUGCUCCAUUUCUUUGGUGAUUACAUCUCUCCCUCACUGUGUUCUAUCUGCUCAUACCGUUUGUGUGCUCUGCUGUCAGAUGCUGAGAAAGCAAAUGGGGUUGCUGAGCCUAACUGCCUCAACAGAAAUGCCACAGAGGGGGUGAAUGCUUAUUCUGAAAGACGGUGAUUAAUCUUGAGAUCAUCUGGAUGUUAUUAGGCCUCAUUUAUAGUCUGUUGUACCUGCAUUGAAGAUAAAUUUGUCUGCGACUGAAAUAUUUGAAAACAUGUUGAUUUAGGAAAAAUAUUCUUCGGACAAUAUGGUAUUAGAUGAGCAUUAUUUUAUUAGCCCCAGUAGCCUUCUUGAGAAACAGGGAAGCAUUUCAAGGCAGUUUUUACAGAUGGGGAAAAUGAAGGCUUUGAUGUAGGGAUUCAGGCCUACAUAGCCUCGUGUCUGCUGGUGCUGUGCUCAGCCCUGCUUGCUUUCAUGCGAGUCUCUUCCCCCCCUCAGUUCCCAGUCACAGAGUAGCCACGUCCCAUGCAGCUCUUGGCAAUGCUGAUUUCAUCCUGUGAGGGAGCCUGUGUCAACAGGGCAGCUGUGAAGGCACGCUGUUCUAACUGCUCACACAGCCAGGGCUGCCACUCACGCUGAUGGAACUCCCUGACACAGGACUGUGCUCUGCUGCAGGCUGGCAGUAUCCAUUUCUUAUUGCAGUGCUCUGACAGGUUACUCAGGGAGGCUCAGAACCUCUAUUCUGGAGUGGAAAAGAAAGUGCAAUUUCAAUUUUGUUUUGAUUUGAAAUUUUCCAUCUACCUAUCAAGACCAAAUCCUCGAACUAUUUACUUAGAAUAACUGAAAUACCCCUAUCUGAAAUAGUGGAUAUGCAAGAUUUAGCCAUUAAAGAGUUGGGGUAAAAUUAAAAUCCCUUUCAAUAAUAACUAAAGUCGGAGAAAAUCUUUCAAGAAAAUUAAACACUUGAUCAAAAAGAGAGAGGGGUUAUUGUUGAGAGCAUAAAGAUUAAACAGGAGAGUUGUCUCAGAGAAUAACCAUCAAUGAUAAGUAGCAGGCAGUUAAUAAUAUCCCCUCAGGGAUCUUCUUUUACUCAUGUAGGUUUUUUGGACAAAUACAAUAUUACGUUUUUUAUAGCUAAAGCACAAGAGAGCUUUGUGCCAUUCCAGGGUAGCAAUAAAACUUCAGUGGAAUAAGGACAACUGGAGAGGUGGGGCAGGGGCUGAGCCAGGAGCUGAGGCAGUGGGGAAGCAGUGAUCUGCCUUUCAACCCCCCAGGCUCUGAGACCCAUUCUCAGUCCUCCUUUCCAUGCCCCUUUUUCAGAUGGGCGGUGCUGUAUCAAUGCUGAGAUGUUAUGCGACAUUGCCCCUUGUUACACAGCAACUGAAGAUGGACGGGAGACCAAGCUGACUAAGGGUGUGAUUCCAUGCUGUAGUUAAGAACUUGUUUAGAGCUUGAACAUGCAAAUGGUUGAAGCGGCAGAAUUAAAGGGAUGGUAAUCUGCAACCAGGGGAGGGCAUGCAGGGUAGAAG
ensembl:lncRNA